rnacentral:rRNA from 1 species
AUGAAUCUAUUAAGUUGGAACUGCCGGGGGGGGGGGACUCUCACAGUUCGCGAACUCGCGACUUUGGUCAAAUCGCAUUCCCCCACUCUCGUGUUUUUGUGUGAGACGAGACAGUCUGCUAGCAAGAUGAAGAGGCAUCGCUCAAGAUUGGGCCUGAAGGGCUUUGAUGGUGUUGAUUCUAGUGGUAAUAGUGGAGGUUUGGCACUGUUUUGGCACGAGGAUCUG